rnacentral:rRNA from 1 species
GAUGAACGCUGGCGGCGUGCCUAAUACAUGCAAGUCGAGCGAACAGACGAGGAGCUUGCUCCUCUGACGUUAGCGGCGGGCGGGUGAGUAACACGUGGAUAACCUACCUAUAAGACUGGGAUAACUUCGGGAAACCGGAGCUAAUACCGGAUAAUAUAUUGAACCGCAUGGUUCAAUAGUGAAAGACGGUUUUGCUGUCACUUAUAGAUGGAUCCGCGCCGCAUUAGCUAGUUGGUAAGGUAACGGCUUAUCAAGGCAACGAUGCGUAGCCGACCUGAGAGGGUGAUCGGCCACACUGGAACUGAGACACGGUCCAGACUCCUACGGGAGGCAGCAGUAGGGAAUCUUCCGCAAUGGGCGAAAGCCUGACGGAGCAACGCCGCGUGAGUGAUGAAGGUCUUCGGAUCGUAAAACUCUGUUAUUAGGGAAGAACAAAUGUGUAAGUAACUAUGCACGUCUUGACGGUACCUAAUCAGAAAGCCACGGCUAACUACGUG